rnacentral:rRNA from 1 species
UACGGAGGGAGCUAGCGUUGUUCGGAAUUACUGGGCGUAAAGCGCACGUAGGCGGCUUUGUAAGUUAGAGGUGAAAGCCCGGGGCUCAACCCCGGAAAUGCCUUUAAGACUGCAUCGCUUGAAUCCGGGAGAGGUGAGUGGAAUUCCGAGUGUAGAGGUGAAAUUCGUAGAUAUUCGGAAGAACACCAGUGGCGAAGGCGGCUCACUGGACCGGUAUUGACGCUGAGGUGCGAAAGCGUGGGGAGCAAACAGG